GCGCUAUUCGGGUUCCUGCGCUAUUCGGGUUCCUGCGCUAUUCGGGUUCCUGCGCUAUUCGGGUUCCUGCGCUAUUCGGGUUCCUGCGCUCAUUAAAGGUCCCGGCGCUCAUUAAAGGUCCCGGCGCUCAUUAAGAGGUCCCGGCGCUCAUUAAAGGUUCCUGAGCUCUCUAGUUAAAAGUAAUGUUAUUUUGUCUUAGUGCCAGCGUUCAUUAUUCUGUCUUUGUUUUGAGUUAUUUUUUGAUCCUUGUGUUUUGAGUUACUUAACAUUCCUUAGUUUUAGUGUAUUUCUGUGCUUCUUAGAUUUCUUAUUGUUCCUGUCUUAGUUUUUGUCUUGUGUCUAGUCCCUGCGCUUAUUUAGGUCCCUGCGCUUGUUAGGUUCUCUGUUCGUUCUGGUCUCCCCUAGUUUCCCUGUUCUAGUUCCCCGGUGUCUCUGUUCUGUUCUCCUAGCCCUCUAAGUUCUUGUGUUUAGGCGCCGCCAGAGCCCUCCGGCGUUCCAAGUCACCUGCUGAGCCCUCUGGCGCGCCCAGCCUGUCGUUGCCUAGUGCAUGCAAGUCGCCGCCAGAAUCCUCCGGCGCUCCCAUGUCGCCGGCUGAGCCCUCUGGUGCGCCAACCUGUCGCUGCCCAGCGCACGCAGGUCGCCGCCAGAGCCCUCCGGUGGUUAUAAGUCGCUGUCUGUGCCCUCUGGUGCGCCCAGCCUGUCGUUGUCUAGUGCAUGCAAGUCG